rnacentral:lncRNA from 1 species
UGCAUACUGUCUCUCUCUCUCCUCCCUCACGAAUCUCUCUCUCUCUGUCACUCUUCUUCUCCGUUCGAACAAACCAACCACAAAACAACCUUAAACUUCCACCAACGACGGAGUUAAGACCACCAUCGAACUCCUGGAGGCUCCACGAUCACGUAGACACCAAUUUCAGGUAAGUUUUACUUCGGAAAACCUAGAUUCUAAACUCCCCGUGAAAGUGCACUGUUCAUGAUCUUCGAAUUGACUUUGUUUUAGGACAAUCCAAGCUCACAGUGAGCUUAGUGAGGUUCCAAGGAAGCUCGGAGUGCUUCGUUGGAAGUUUUUGGACGUAAGAACACGGAGAUCGAUAAGUUCAAAGUUUGGCCGGAGCUUUCGAGGCAUGUUCCGGCGAAUCCCCGGCGAGUUAGGCGUCGAGGUAGGUAUCAAUCUCUUCGUCUCGUCAAGUACUACAACUUUCCUUUUUGUUUCACUCAAUUUCGUUGAGUAUUGAAGAAGUUAUACUCAUUUGAAAAAUACCCAGUUUCCGGCGACCUCCGAGGCUUUCGAGGCAGUUUCCGGCCAAACUACGGCGAACUAGGUGUUGGGAAAGGUACCAUUCUCUUUGUCUCUUCAAGGGCUACAACUUUCGUUUUUGAAUCACUUGAUUUCGUUAAGAAAUGACAAAGUUUAUGGCAAUUUGAAAAAACCGCCCAGAAAAACGGCCGCCGGAAAAACCAGUCCGGCGACCCAAGGAAGAAGAAGGUGCUACAGUAAAAAUAAAAAAUAAAAAUAAAAUUAUUUUUAAAAAUAUGUCGACGUCCGUGACGUCGAGUAGAUCACUGUGGUAUAUUCAUAUACCUAAAUUGAACACCGUAUGAGAAAAGUUAUUGAAGAUUGUUGGUUAGGUGUUCAAAUAACGUUUUAUAGUUUUCACAUUUAGGUGAAAAUGUGAAUUGAUGAUCCGACCGUUGGAUCGUCACCAAACUUUGAUACGUUGUAAUACGUAAUAUUUGAGGAUUAUUGGAACUUACGGAUUGGGAAUCCGAGAUACGGAUCUUCCGGAAUUGGAAUUGUAAGUCCAUAAUAUAAAAUGUUAACCGUCACUUAGUUUUGGAAAUUGACGGAGAUCCGACCGUUGGAUGGUAAUGAAAUUUUAGGAUGUUGUCCUAGAGGUAUAAUGUGGACCUCUGGAAGUUAUGGAUUUAAAAUCUGAGGGGUGGAUCUUCCGGAUCAAUCUACGUAGUGACGUAUUUUAUAUAAGUUAUAUAUUCUAUCGAUAUGAAUUCUGAGGUUGGAAUUGAUUAUUGUUUUAGGCGCCGAUCGUCAUGACGCCUUGGCGUAUUGUGCUAGGGAGUUGUAGGGCGAACUCCAG